GUGUUGUCCUACUUUAAAUUGUAUUGUGUCUUUCUAUUUUUGUGUCAUUUUGGAUGUUAUGGUGCUUAAAGCGCAAUAACACAGUACACAUUGGAGAUGAAUCUGUAUGGACAUGAAGUAGAGAUCUACGGCUAGUCCUUGAUCACUUAUAAGCUGUUGUACAGAAGCAUUUGUUUGCUCUGUUAUACUUUGAAAAACAGAUCUUCUAUUGCAUGAGAAAAGAUUUUGGAAAGCACUCCUCUGAUGAAGGGACAUUGCGAAGAUUUUCACAAGUCUACAAUUCCAACUUUAAUGGAAAUGUAAACCUAAAUCCUAUGUCCCAAAACAAAAGACAGGGGUUUGGCUCUUAGUUUGAAUUUCCCUUUCUUUUUGACAAACAUAACAAUUUUAUUAAUGAUUUGUCAUGUUCUUGAUCCUUUCUAUAACUUUCCCAGUGAACUUUAAAAGCUUUG